UGUGCUAGGACACCCUUAGA
rnacentral:piRNA from 1 species